rnacentral:rRNA from 1 species
GCCGCCCGCUUUCUUCUUGCCUAAUACAUGCAAGUCGAGCGAACAGACGAGGAGCUUGCUCCUCUGACGUUAGCGGCGGACGGGUGAGUAACACGUGGAUAACCUACCUAUAAGACUGGGAUAACUUCGGGAAACCGGAGCUAAUACCGGAUAAUAUAUUGAACCGCAUGGUUCAAUAGUGAAAGACGGUUUUGCUGUCACUUAUAGAUGGAUCCGCGCCGCAUUAGCUAGUUGGUAAGGUAACGGCUUACCAAGGCGACGAUGCGUAGCCGACCUGAGAGGGUGAUCGGCCACACUGGAACUGAGACACGGUCCAGACUCCUACGGGAGGCAGCAGUAGGGAAUCUUCCGCAAUGGGCGAAAGCCUGACGGAGCAACGCCGCGUGAGUGAUGAAGGUCUUCGGAUCGUAAAACUCUGUUAUUAGGGAAGAACAAAUGUGUAAGUAACUAUGCACGUCUUGACGGUACCUAAUCAGAAAGCCACGGCUAACUACGUG